rnacentral:lncRNA from 1 species
CUGAAGGAGAUGUCACCCUGAGGUGCUGGGCCAUGGGCUUCUACCCGAAGGAGAUCACCUUGAUUUGGCAGAGGGAUGGGGAAGAUCACACCCAGGACAUGGAACUUGUGGAGACCAGGCCUGCAGGGACUUUCCAGAAGUGGGCAGCUGUGGUGGUGCCUGCUGGGGAGGAGCAGAGAUACACAUGCCAUGUGCAUCAUGAGGGGCUGACUGAGCCCGCACCCUGAGAUGGGGUAAGGAGAUGAGGUCACAGAGCGGCUUGUCAGUGAAAGCAGGAGCUGUUCUCUGCAGGRUCAAGGGCCUGAACCUCGCUUGCCUUCUGUUUCCAGAGUCACGUCCUCAGCUCAUCAUCUACAUUGUGGGAAUCAUUGCUGGCCUGGUUGUCCUUGGAGCUGCGGUUGUUAUUGCAAUUUGGUUGAAGAUGAACCACACAAGGGAAGAGGAGUCAUGAGACAGCUGCCUGUGUGGGAUUGAGCGACAUAAGACUUGUUCAGGCCUCCUCUUUGUGACUUGAAGAACCUUGGAUCUCUUUCUGCAGAGGUAUCUAAAUAUGCCCACAUUCCUACUGGCAUAAUGUGAGGAGGUGGGGAGACCAGCACACUCCUUCCCACCAGGAUUCCUUUUACCACACUGAACUGUGUUCCCUUUCACAAUCAACCUUCUUCUUCAGCAAAGGCAGGGCUAGGUUGUCUCCAUCCCUGUCUCCACGUCAUGGUGCCCUGAGCUACAGCUUCUUAACUUCUGUAGUAAAAAUAAGAACCUGAGCAUAAAUUUAUUUUUUCAAAUUCUUUUUAUUGAUUUUUAAUUUUAUUUUUUGAUUUUAGUGCAUUUAUUUGUGCAUAAUAGUGGGAUUCAUUUUGACAUAUUCAUAACUGCAUCUAAUGCAAUUUUCUCCAUUUCUAUCUCCUUCUCUCCCAUCCUCCCUCUCCACUGAUCCUUUCUUUCUACUCUAUUGGUUUUACUUCUGUUUAUUUGUUUUUUAAUUGGUGCACUAUAUAUAUAUAUAUAUAUAUAUAUAAUUGCAACACAUUGUGAUAUAUUCAUACAUGAGCAUAGCAUAAUUUGUUAACUUUAUUCCCCAAUUUUUUCCCUUUCCCUCCCCAGAUUCCUCUACUUGAUCCCUUGUUUUACUCUAUUGCUCUUUUGUAUUUUUGUGAGAUCUCCCCCACUAGAUUUUUUUCCCCUCUCUAGAUUGUGCAUAUGAGAAAAAACAUUUACUUUGACUUUCUAAGUCUGAGUCCUUGACUUUCUGAGUCUGGCUUAUUUCACUUGGCAUGAUGAUCUUCAGUUCCACCAAUUUACCAGGAAAUGACAUCAUUUCAUUGUUCUUUAUGGCUGAGUGGAACUCAUUGUGUAUAUACAUCACAUUUUCUUUAUCCAUUUCUCUACUGAUGGGUWCUUAGGCUGGUUCUAUAACUUGGCUAUUGUGAAUCAUGCUGCUAUAAACAUUG